rnacentral:rRNA from 1 species
AAGCGGAGGAAAAGAAACCAACCGGGAUUGCCUUAGUAACGGCGAGUGAAGCGGCAAAAGCUCAAAUUUGAAAUCUGGUACCUUCGGUGCCCGAGUUGUAAUUUGGAGAGGGCAACUUUGGGGCCGUUCCUUGUCUAUGUUCCUUGGAACAGGACGUCAUAGAGGGUGAGAAUCCCGUGUGGCGAGGAGUGCGGUUCUUUGUAAAGUGCCUUCGAAGAGUCGAGUUGUUUGGGAAUGCAGCUCUAAGUGGGUGGUAAAUUCCAUCUAAAGCUAAAUAUUGGCGAGAGACCGAUAGCGAACAAGUACAGUGAUGGAAAGAUGAAAAGAACUUUGAAAAGAGAGUGAAAAAGUACGUGAAAUUGUUGAAAGGGAAGGGCAUUUGAUCAGACAUGGUGUUUUGUGCCCUCUGCUCCUUGUGGGUAGGGGAAUCUCGCAUUUCACUGGGCCAGCAUCAGUUUUGGUGGCAGGAUAAAUCCAUAGGAAUGUAGCUUGCCUCGGUAAGUAUUAUAGCCUGUGGGAAUACUGCCAGCUGGGACUGAGGACUGCGACGUAAGUC